AGCUCUGGCUCGUGCUCUCCAGGCUUUGGUUUACUUAACUGCAGAUAACAUCAUAAACAGCAAAAAUGUGGCUUUUGCGCGGACAGAAAUUAAAUAUCCAAGUAGUAAAUGGUCCGAGGUCAAACAGCAUUGGAGGAGUUUACGUGAGGAACCAAAGAAAAGACAAAAUGGAAGAAGCAUUGUGGUGCUACAGAGAUGCCCUGGCCUACAACUCAUACUCCAGAUGAGGAAAACAACCAUCUUUAUUUGUGUCAGAAUCAUGAUGCCUUCCCCGCUACGUCUGUGUGGUUCCACAGAUUCUCUCACAUGAUGUUUAUGAUCUGGGUUUCCUGGUGAGAAACAUCAUGUGUUGCUGUUUGGG